ensembl:rRNA 5S_rRNA 5S ribosomal RNA
ACCAGCAGCCAUAUUACCCUGCAACUCACAACUGGCAACCCACUAAAGCUAAGCAGGUGUGAGCCUGGUCAGUACCUGGAUGGGAGACCUCCUGGGAAAAACUAAGGUUGCUGCUGGAA